AUUAAUAAUUUUCCACUAUAUUGUUAAUCCGACGCUGGUGUGUACAUAAGGAAAGAUUAAAAAAAGUAAAAGGAACUCGGCAAACACAAACCCCGCCUGUUUACCAAAAACAUCACCUCUAGCAUUACCAGUAUUAGAGGCACUGCCUGCCCAGUGACAUUAGUUAAACGGCCGCGGUAUCCUGACCGUGCAAAGGUAGCAUAAUCAUUUGUUCCUUAAUUAGGGACUUGUAUGAAUGGCCCCACGAGGGUUUAACUGUCUCUUACUUUCAAUCAGUGAAAUUGACCCUCCCGUGAAGAGGCGGGAAUAUAAAAAUAAGACGAGAAGACCCUAUGGAGCUUAAAUUAAUUUGCUCAACAAAAUUUAAAUUCAGCCCAACAGGAAUAAUUAUAAUUUAACUGAGCAAUAAAUUUUGGUUGGGGUGACCUCGGAGUAU
rnacentral:rRNA from 1 species